rnacentral:rRNA from 1 species
CUACCUUGUUUUGGACAAACUUGAACUCCAGGUCUACCGGAGAUUAGUGAAGAAAAUCCAUAUCAUCCAGAGGGAGAAGGAACCAUCUAAGGCACAUCAAAUCAAGCUAGCGGUCUCUGAACCAUUUUAGUCGAGUAGCAGUUUUGCGAAAGGUUUCCCAAAGAUACACUACUUGAUGGAGAUUUGGAUGAUCUACAAGCUGCUGAAGGUUUGCAAGAUCUACUAUUAAGUUGGUGGAGUGAUAAUGUAAUGCGCCUUGUUUGGUGAACCUGGAGACAUUGGCAAGUUCUGCUCAUUUUGGUGGUUGUUUUGGCACAUAGGCCACUAUAUGGCCAUUUUGGUUGCGUGACACAUUUAAAAACAUAUAUACUUC